GUACUCUCCUGGGCAGUAUAUAUACCAAAAUUGGAAUGAUGCAGAGAAGAUUAGCAUGGCCCCUGUGCAAGGUUGACCUGAAAAUUUGUGGCGUUGAAUAUUUUCUU
ensembl:snRNA U6 U6 spliceosomal RNA